AGCCCGGAGAUAGCUGGUUCUCCUCGAAAUCUAUUUAGGUAGAGCGUCGGACGAAUACCCUCGGGGGUAGAGCACUGAAUGGGUAAUGGGGGCCCACAGCCUUACUGAUCCUAAUCAAACUCCGAAUACCGAGGAGUAAUAUCCGGCAGACACACAGCGGGUGCUAACGUCCGUUGUGGAGAGGGAAACAACCCUGACCUCCAGCUAAGGCCCCUAAUUCAUGGCUAAGUGGGAAAGCAGGUGGGACGACCAAAACAACCAGGAGGUUGGCUUAGAAGCAGCCAUCCUUUAAAGAUAGCGUAACAGCUCACUGGUCUAAACAAGUUGUCCUGCGGCGAAGAUGUAUCGGGGCUCAAGCCAUGAGCCGAAGCUGAGGAUGCCGUAAGGCAUGGUAGCGGAGCGUAGUGUG
rnacentral:rRNA from 14 species